rnacentral:lncRNA from 1 species
GUGCAAGCCUCGCUUCUCAGCCAGUUGGCGCCUUGGGAAAUCUGCCAGUAGGGGGCAGUAGAGGGCCAUAACAAGCCUGGAGAAGAGAAAGCUUUGCAAUGAAUAUAUCUUCAUACAGAUUUACUUUCACUAAAAUAACUGGCCAUUUCUGUUUCCUGAUGGACUGACUGCCAUCCAUGCUUCUCAUCCCAGCCUUUAGUCACUGCAAAUAAUAUUCAACCAUCACAGAGGAGGGAAGAGUGACAGCACACACUCCUGAAUCAUUUAGGGACCACUAAUUUUCGGGGAAAAAAUGGUUUUUUGAAAGAAACAGAAAGCAUUUGAUGGGUCUGGAGAACAGCUGAGAAGAAGGACAAGCACAAAUAACUCUGCAUGGAUUCCAUGGACUAACAUGUUCUGGAAACUGCUAUAAGGAAUAAAUUCUUCUGCGUAGGGUUUGUUUGCAUGUUAGCAGCUACUAGAAUGAUAAUUUAUAUAAUAUGCUGGACAGAAUAACAACAAUGAUCAGCCACUUUGCUUUUAUUUCUUCAAAGAACAUUGAGGUCCUACUGUGUACACAUAAGACAAAGUCCCUGCUGUCAAAAAAAAUAUUUUUAAAUCCAACUCUAAUAAAAAUAAGAAUAAAAAAGUGAGAGAACUGGCUAGGAAGGACAUUUUCCAAUGUUUCCUUCCAUUAACGAGGCACGUGGUAUGAAAGCGUUCUUUGAAGACAGUUAUUCAAAUGUACUUGUGUUUUUAAUGUCAUUUUAAUGUGAACAUAAUUCCUUUCUUUGUUUUUUGGUACCGCGGAUCUAACUCGUGACCUUGCGCUUGCGAGGCAGGUGCGGUGCCACUGAGCUAAACCCUCGGCCCCAUAAUUCCUUCCUUUAUUCUUCAAACCUUUUUUGGUGAAAAAUUCUACACGUACAUAAAUGUACAUUUAAAAGAAUUAUUAUAAAUAUCUAUGUAAGCACCAUUGGGGAUUAAGGUCAGAAACUACAAUGUCAAAGGCACUCUUCCUUAUAACCCUACCUGCCAGACCUAACCACGAUCCUAAUUUUAUAGUAAUCCCUAUUUGACUUUUUUUUGUUUUUUGCCCCCAUAGUGUUCUCCACUAAAUGUGCAUCUAUAAACAUAAUACGGUUUGAUUUAGCUUGUUUUUAAUUUUUAUAUACAAAAGCAUAUCGUAUGCAUUUUUCUGGAUUUCUGUUAUUGUUCCAUAUUUCAUUUUUGAGAUGUCUCCAUGUUGUUCCAGGUAGCUGAAUUCCAUUCCUCUUCACUGCUAUGUAAUACAAAGUAUAUAAAUACUGUUUGAUGAUCAGUUUUCU